rnacentral:rRNA from 1 species
AAAAAAUACAAGGAUCGCCUGUCCAUGCUGUACAAAGCGUAUGAGACAUUCAAAGAUGAGCUGACCUCAGUUCUCAACCACCCGCUAAUGCCAUCAGAGUUUGAACGCGCUUGGCAUGAGCCCAUGGAGAAGUAUAACCUGCAAAAUGAUGAAAUUAUGAAGGCGCUCUGGACAGACCGAAAAGAAUGGAUAUCAGCUUACUACAAGGAGGUGUUCUGUGCACGGAUGACGUCGACACAGAGAAGUGAAAGCAUGAACCGGAUCUUGAAGAGGAACUUUGUCAAGGAAAUACAUGACCUACACAUCUUUGCAUCGCAGGUGGACAGGUGCAUCCAGACAAGGAAGGGCGUCGAGCACGUGGAGAUCAUAGCUAACGAGACGGAAAUAAAGACUACUACUCAGUUUGGUUUCGAGGUUCAGCUCUCCAAGAUUUACACCAGGGCGGUAUUUGCUGACUUCAAGCAAACGCACUACCGAAGCACUGCAUUCAGAUCAGAGCAGUCCCCUGACAACCCAACGAAAUAUUUGGUGCGCCACUACAACCAGUCUGAUGAUUUUGAUUGGGCAAGACACGAGUUCCACGUAGUUGCUGAUGUGACGAACGGUAUCUAUGAAUGCGAAUGCAAGCUGUGGACACACACAGGCCUGUUCUGCGUGCACAUCAUUUGCAUGUUCGAUCAGCUGCGGGUGGACAAGAUACUUGAAGAGUACAUAUUGAAGAGAUACACACGGAACGCGCGCCAAAAUGCAACUUUUGACCGCAGAGACUAUGAGCAAACUGCUCCAGAUGGGAGUUCGAUGUUCUGCCGUAGGAGACUACUUGCAGAAACAGUGAUGGACCUGGCAAACAUGGGUGUCAAAUCGGAUAGAGGGUACAAUAGAGCUUUAGCUGGGAUGAGAGCACUCAUACAAGAAGUCGACGUACUAAACGAAGAAGAAGAAGCAAAGAGCAUCAGGGAUGCGCGGAGUGAAGAACAAGGAGAGGAGCGCGAACAUGCUGCUGAUGGUGCAGCUCAUAAUAUGGAUGACACAAUUCUUCCCCCACCUGUUUCAAACACAAAAGGGAGAAAGAAAGAGAGCAAAUCAGCCAAUAAAAAAGCUGCAGCAAAUGAAAAAGGUCCUGAAAAAAAAAGCAGGCCUGAGCCAGAACUGGACAGCGAAGGAAGACCACUAGGGGUAAAGAUGUGCAAAUCAUGCAAUAAGAUUGCGGGACACAACUCAAGAACAUGUAAGGAGAGGCUAAAAAAAUCCAGGCUGAAAAUGCCGCCACAGAUCACCAAGCUGACCAACAAGAUGAUAUGA